rnacentral:lncRNA from 10 species
AAUCCAGAAAAACGAGCCUGAGCACAGAAAGCUAAAAAAUCGCAGUGAGCCUGCACACAGAGCCGCACCCAGCAGACACACGUAGGGGCUAAGAGCAGGCUCUGGAGUCCAUUUGAAUCCGGCCUCAGAUGCUGAUGAGCUGUGUGGACUUGCACCAGUUACUCGAUCUCUCUGACCUUUGGUUUCCUGGUCUGUAAAGCGGGGAUGAGACUAGCAAUGACACUGAGGUCGGGGCAGAGAUGAGAAGGGGCGAUGCGUAAACACGCCUAGUCCACAGUGAGCGUUCAGUAUUAAUUAGUAUUACUGCUUUAUGCGUUGUGUUUUGAAGGGAAGGGGCAGGGAACAGCCAUCAGUGAUCUGGGGCCAUUUCUACAAGUUAAGCUGGGGUAGGCGUCCUCCCUUCACUCUCACGUUCCCAGCAGUGAUCCCAGGCCGGGCCCAAGGGCAGACGCGCACUGAAUCGCUUUCACCUCAUCCUGAAAUCCCUGCGCCGGCCCCCACCUUUCCACUCGGCCUCUUUGCAGGUCCGUGGGUCCCAGAGGUUCUGGCUGGCAAGGCACCAACUACAAGGGUUUCCUGAUGGCUAAUGGCAUUUCGGAAAGCACCAAGCUGACUGCAAUAUAAAGUUCAAAUAGGGCCGGUGGGGGGCGGGGGUGGGGAGUGCCAGGCACCCGGGCCAGAACAUUUGAGUCUGUUUUCUCCAUCCAGCCAGUUCAUUUCAGAAAGGAAGGCGCGCCCCAGGAGCGAUGGCAGGUUCUGCUUUCCUGUCUUACACAGGUCUGUGCUCUCGUGGGUGCUUGUGAUUCUGGAGCUAGGAAGCUCAACUUCUCCCUCCGCAGCAGCAGCCUAGAGUUGUGCUGAUGGACUGAGAGCCGUGUCCCAGUCCCUCUCCAGCAAGGGCCAUCUGGGAAAAGCCACCUCAUCCCCAAGACGCACAACAAAGUGACCCCAAACCCUAUUUCCCUCCAUUGCUGAAGAGCUCCAUGGAGGAAACAGCUGGAGAGGGGACAGGGACAGAGGGAGGUGCUGGUGGCCUGGAGUCUCUACUGUUGACACAAAAUCUUUUUAUUCCCCAUUUGCCAUCUUUUCCACAAACCUCUCAGGUACAGAUCGGAAGAAAGU